rfam:Oryza glumipatula chromosome 2, whole genome shotgun sequence.
CUUCGUCCCAUUUGUAGAUUUCUGUGCCCAACAUUUGAUCGUCUGUUUUAUUAAAAAUUUUUAUGAUUAGUAUUUUUAUUGUUUUUAGAUGAUAAAAUAUGAACAAUAUUUUAUACGUGACUUAUUUUUUUAUAAAUUUUUUAAAUAACAUGGAUUGUCAAACGUUGGAUAUGGAAACUCAUAAUUACACUUAAA